GACGAACGCUGGCGGCGUGCUUAAUACAUGCAAGUCAACGACUUUUAGAGUAGCAAUAUUUUAAAGGAAGUGGCGCACGGGUGAGUAACACGUAGGUAAUCUGCCUUCAGGACUGACACAACUCGUCGAAAGACGGGCUAAUAUCAGAUAAUGCAGCGGCUCCGCAUGGAGACAGUUGUUAAAGUACAAGCGCCUGAAGAUGAGCCUGCGGUCCAUUAGCUAGUUGGUAGAGUAACAGCCUACCAAGGCAACGAUGGAUAGCUGGUCUGAGAGGAUGAUCAGCCACACUGGAACUGAGACACGGUCCAGACUCCUACGGGAGGCAGCAGUAAGGAAUAUUGCUCAAUGGCCGAAAGGCUGAAGCAGCAACGCCGCGUGAAGGAUGAAUGGCCUUGGCCUGUAAACUUCUAGUAAAAAGGGAAAAACAGUCAGGUAUAUCCUGAUUGAUUGUACCUUUGAAGUAAGCCCCGGCUAACGUACGU
rnacentral:rRNA from 1 species